AGCUGUGUGGCCUAGUGGUAAGGCCCAAGGCUCAUAAUCCUGAGGUUGCUGGUCCAAUUCCCAAGAGAUG